rnacentral:rRNA from 1 species
GACGUAGGGCGCGAGCGUUGUCCGGAUUUAUUGGGCGUAAAGAGCUCGUAGGCGGCUUGUCGCGUCGUCCGUGAAAACCCACAGCUCAACUGUGGGCUUGCGGUCGAUACGGGCAGGCUAGAGUUCGGUAGGGGAGACUGGAAUUCCUGGUGUAGCGGUGAAAUGCGCAGAUAUCAGGAGGAACACCGGUGGCGAAGGCGGGUCUCUGGGCCGAUACUGACGCUGAGGAGCGAAAGCUAGGGGAGCGAACAGG